rnacentral:rRNA from 1 species
UUUGGUGGCGAUAGCGGCGGUGUUCCACACGUCCCCAUCCCGAACACGACCGUUAAGCCCUCCAGCGCCGAUGGUACUUGGACCGCAGGGUCCUGGGAGAGUAGGACGUUGCCAAGC